CCUUUAUAAGUUCUAAGUUUUUCUUCCUUAUGAACAGUUUCCAACUGGUAGAGCAGAGGUUAUUUGGUGUACCCUUAGUUCCCCUCACAGUUUCUACCUCCGGUUCCCCCUCGACGUUUAAUUUUUACCUCCGGCUCUCAUCUCCGACGAUGUGUCGCCUGUCACACCACAAUUCCAUUGCAGCAGACGAUGUUUUUGCCGGGGUUUACGUUUUGCAGAAAGUUGAAAAAAUGGUCGGAAGAGAAGAUUAUCGCAUUUUUGUUGGAGGGUUGGGUUGGAAUACCUCGCAAAGGCACUUAGAAGAUGAAUUUGCUCGUUAUGCAAAAAUCAUUGAUUGUCUAGUAAGUUCUUUUUUGAUUUGUUUUUAUUUUUGCUUUCACCCAGUAAUUUCUUUUUUAUUUGUUGGGUUGAAAAAUUUAAUAUAUUGGAGUUGAUUAAUUAUGAGCAUUUCUUCAUCUGGAUUUCUGUUCUGAUUUCUUACAAAUGUUUGUGUAAUGUAAAGUAUUAUAUAGUUCAUGAUACUUAGCUUAUUGGCUAAUAGUUGUAAAUUCAUGGAGGUCUAAACUUAUUGGGCUUGAGAGGUUUAGGUUUACAUUUCGAGACUCGAACAUGAGUUUUGGUAAUAUGUGUUGGUUGUUGUAGUUGGUGGGGAUAGUGCAUGGACUGCAACUGGUGUGCGAUUUUUUUUUUCUCGAAUUGCUGCCUAAUGUUCCUAAGGAACUACUCAGUAUGCGCACUCUAUGAUUAUAGUUUUCGGAUUUUAAAUUCUGUUUGAGCUGUUGGAAAGAUAGGAAUAUGUAUGAGCUAGGUUGACAAUACUUGGAUAUGAGUGAGACUUCUUUGCUAUUUUUAGUUGGUAGACAUGUACUGAUACAAGUUUAAGUAUUUAAGCUGUCUAGGAAGAAUGUUUAUAGCUUGUUUUCUUGAGGUACAUACGUCUGCAUUAAGUAUGAGUUAAGGUCCCUUAAUGAAAAGUAUGAGAUAAGCCAUGAUUGAAACAUUAAUGCCUGAAACCACCCUAUAUAGUCCUGGAAGAGUGUAUGCUGCAUGGCUUUCAUACUGGCCAAGUCUAUCUUUGCUGCAUAAUGACAAACUCCAUAUUGGUAUUUGAUAAAAUUGCUUUAUGCUUUUUAGAAUGCUGAUCAAAUUCUUACAUUAGAAAUUUCAAUACUAAAUGGAGAAUGAUCUGUGUCUGACCUUCCUGCAUUUUCUUAAUAUGUGCUUGUGAUGAUGAAAUCUGCCGAGUUCAUUGCAAUGACAUCUGCUGUGAACUGACAUGAAAAAUGGUACUUCGGAUCCUUCUGUCUCCAGCUGACAUCUGAAUCUUCAUACUGUCUUUUCUAAGGCAUGUGCUAUUGUGGCCUAUCAAGACAAAAGUGAUUGCUCUCCACGAAAUUAUUCAAACAAUGGGUGUCACACAGUGGAAGUUUGAUGAUGUUUUCUGUCAAGUUGAAAUGGUUGGGAGUGCUCAAGGGUUCAAGUCUCCCUGGCGUGCUUCCACGUGAACUAGUGAAGCUUCCUUAUCUCUGUGAAAUGAAUCUCGGGGACAAUCAAUUUACUGACAAAGUUCCUGAUGAGCUUGGGAACUUAAUGAACUUGAAGAUAGUGCUGUCAUCAAACCAUUUAAGUGGAACACUGCCCCAAACACUAGUGCGCCUGAAGAAUUUGACGGAUUUUCGGCUUAAUGAUAAUAACUUCGAUGGAUUAUACCAUAUUAUAUAAAAGAUCGGGAGCAGCUUAACAAAUUGUAAGAUUCUCGCUCAUUGACCAAAAGCAGCUGCUUUGUGGUGUUCUACUUGGGUGCUAAUGUGCUCACUCUGCAUCUUUGCAGGGAAAUGCAUGUGAUAUAUACAUGCAUGAAGAUGGUAUAUAUUUGAGUGUUAUAUGAGGUAAGAAAGCUUGAGGAGGGAGAAAGUCAACAAGAUUUGUUGCCGUCCACUGUGUCAUACAACCUACAUGUCCUUUCUAUUUGAGGAAAUUAGAGCCUUGUAAUUUUAGUUUCUAGUGAAAAUAAUAGUUAUUACUGAUAAUAUGAUGUCACAUAUAGUUCAUAUAAUGAGUAUACAUGUACAUCAUGUAUUGUUUUUUUAUUUAUAUUAUAAUGUUUUGUAGCCACGUAAUCUCAUAUCAUACCUAAAUUUGUUUCCAUGAGAAGGUUAAAAAGAAUCCGGAAAUCAAAUGGAAUCAAAUAGAGUGACCUCACCAACCACUUGGUACUCUAAACUGUGGAUAUUAUGUGUUUUGCUACAUGCUUGAGACGGUACAGUUGAGACGACUAGUACAUAUAUCGGAGAUCAACACGAAGCACAAAUGAUGAAAGAGUUCUAACUUUCCACCUAAUUUUUUUUUACCUUAAUCCACUUUUGGAUAUACAUUAUAUUUUUGGAUUUGGAUAUUGAUAUCAUGUGGAUGUGGCUAUAGGCGAGAUUUGAUCUUGUUUAAGAUUUAGAUUAAUAUUGAUAUGUAUAUAUAGUAGUGUUUUUUAGAAGUUUAGAAUUAUGAAUAUUAGUUAAAUUAUUUUGUGAUAUAAAGAAUUUUGGAAGUUUGGAAUAUCAUAUUCAAUUUAUUGGUUGUAA